AUCGAACGCUGGCGGCAGGCCUAACACAUGCAAGUCGAGCGAGCGGCGGACGGGUGAGUAAUGUAUGGGGACCGCCCGACAGAGGGGGAUCACUACUGGAAACGGUGGCUAAUACCGCAUACUAUCGGAUAACCCAUAUGGGAUUGGCGAGUAGGUGGGGUAAAGGCUAACCUAGGCGCCGAUCUCCAGCUGGUCUGAGAGGAUGAUCAGCCGGAAGGGGACGGAGACGCGGCCCAGACUCCUACGGAGGCAGCAGUGGGGAAUAUUGCACAAUGGGCGCAAGCCUGAUGCAGCCAGGCCGCGUGUAUGAAGAAGGCCUGAGGGUUGUAAGGUACUGUCAGCGGGUAGGCGUUACCCGCAGAAGAAGCACCGGCUAACUCCGUGCCAGCAGCCGCAGUAAUUC
rnacentral:rRNA from 1 species